rnacentral:antisense_RNA from 1 species
GUGGGAGGGGGCUUGCUCCCGAUAGCAGGGUGCCAGUCGUUGCAUGUGUUGACUGACCCACCCAUAUCGGGAGCAAGCCCCCUCCCAC